AGGAGAGAGAGAGAGAAUGAGACAGUGACUGGUGGCUUGGACACAUCUGAGCCAGCAACUAGAGAUUUCUCUCCACGACAAACACACACUCACCUCUUCACACACACACACACAUUUUCCUCCUCACACACACACACACACACACACACACACACACACACACACACACACACACACACACUCACCGAUGGAUGGAUUAAUAUUUUGAGGGGAUGUUUCUGAUGCCGUACUGAGAUCUACUUCUCUUCCUCAUGGAGCAGAAAACCCUGAACUGUGAGGGAGCUACGGAAGGAUCUGCCGUGGUCUCUGAUGGAGAGCUGAACAGUGUUGACCUACAGGGCUGUGGUAGUGACAACAGUCUGAACAGUAAUG